rnacentral:snRNA from 1 species
AUCGCUUCUCUGCCUUUUGGCUAAGAUCAAGUGUAGUAUCUCUUCUUAUCAGUUUAUUAUACGAUACAUUCCCUAUCCAGGGACUACAUUGGGAAGUCAU